CACUCCUGCGGGAGGCAGCAGUGGGGAAUAUUGGACAAUGGGCGCAAGCCUGAUCCAGCCAUGCCGCGUGAGUGAUGAAGGCCCUAGGGUUGUAAAGCUCUUUCACCGGUGAAGAUAAUGACGGUAACCGGAGAAGAAGCCCCGGCUAACUUCGUGCCAGCAGCCGCGGUAAUACGAAGGGGGCUAGCGUUGUUCGGAUUUACUGGGCGUAAAGCGCACGUAGGCGGACUAUUAAGUCAGGGGUGAAAUCCCGGGGCUCAACCCCGGAACUGCCUUUGAUACUGGUAGUCUUGAGUUCGAGAGAGGUGAGUGGAAUUCCGAGUGUAGAGGUGAAAUUCGUAGAUAUUCGGAGGAACACCAGUGGCGAAGGCGGCUCACUGGCUCGAUACUGACGCUGAGGUGCGAAAGCGUGGGGAGCAAACAGGAUUAGAAACCCGUGUAGUCC
rnacentral:rRNA from 1 species